GCAAAAAGGAUACAGGAGUUCCUCCUUCUUGAGGAAGACGACCCCGUCCUAACAGUAACCUCUCCCGUGUCUGAUCCGUGUGAAGGGUACAUUACUUUGCAAAAUGUGUCCGCCGCCUGGAAGAAAACGGCCACCAAGAAGGGAUCUGAAGACAAGCAAUCCCUUACAAAAUCAUUUCUGAGAGAUGUCACAUUAUCAAUACAGCAGG